CCUACGGGGGACAGCAGUAGGGAAUUUUCGUCAAUGGGCGCAAGCCUGAACGAGCAAUGCCGCGUGAACGAGGAAGGUCUUCGGAUCGUAAAGUUCUGUUGAAGGGGAAAAAGAGCGGAGAGAGGAAAUGGUCUCCGAUUGAUAUUACCCUUCGAGGAAGUCACGGCUAACUACGUGCCAGCAGCCGCGGUAAUACGUAGGUGGCGAGCGUUAUCCGGAAUGAUUGGGCGUAAGGGGUGCGUAGGCGGCCUGCUAAGUCUGGGGUGAAAGGUACCGGCUCAACCGGUAGAGGCUCUGGAAACUGGCGGGCUAGAGAGCAGGAGAGGGCGGUGGAACUCCAUGUGUAGCGGUAAAAUGCGUAGAUAUAUGGAAGAACACCAGUGGCGAAGGCGGCCGCCUGGCCUGUUACUGACGCUGAGGCACGAAAGCGUGGGGAGCAAAUAGGAUUAGAUACCCCAGUAGUC
rnacentral:rRNA from 1 species